AGUGAACGCUGGCGGCAGGCCUAACACAUGCAAGUCGAGCGGCAGCGGGUCCUUCGGGAUGCCGGCGAGCGGCGGACGGGUGAGGAAUGCAUCGGAAUCUGCCCUGGCGUGGGGGAUAACCUAGGGAAACUUAGGCUAAUACCGCAUACGACCCACGGGUGAAAGCGGGGGAUCGCAAGACCUCGCGCGAUAGGAUGAGCCGAUGUCCGAUUAGCUAGUUGGCGGGGUAAAGGCCCACCAAGGCGACGAUCGGUAGCUGGUCUGAGAGGAUGAUCAGCCACACUGGAACUGGGACACGGCCCAGACUCCUACGGGAGGCAGCAGUGGGGAAUAUUGGACAAUGGGGGCAAGCCUGCUCCAGCCAUGCCGCGUGGGUGAAGAAGGCCUUCGGGUUUUAAAGCCCUUUUGUCCGGGAAGACAUCGUCUGGGCUAAUACCCCGGGCGGAUGACGGUACCGGAAGAAUAAGCACCGGCUAACUUCGUG
rnacentral:rRNA from 1 species